CAGUCGCCGCGGGAAUACAGAGGGUGCAAGCGUUAAUCGGAAUUACUGGGCGUAAAGCGCGCGUAGGUGGUUUGUUAAGUUGGAUGUGAAAGCCCCGGGCUCAACCUGGGAACUGCAUCCAAAACUGGCAAGCUAGAGUACGGUAGAGGGUGGUGGAAUUUCCUGUGUAGCGGUGAAAUGCGUAGAUAUAGGAAGGAACACCAGUGGCGAAGGCGACCACCUGGACUGAUACUGACACUGAGGUGCGAAAGCGUGGGGAGCAAACAGGAUUAGAUACCCGGGUAGUCCCUGUCUCUUUACA
rnacentral:rRNA from 1 species